rnacentral:rRNA from 1 species
GACGAACGCUGGCGGCGUGCUUAACACAUGCAAGUUGAACGGAAAGGCCCUGCUUUUGUGGGGUGCUCGAGUGGCGAACGGGUGAGUAACACGUGAGUAACCUGCCCUUGACUUUGGGAUAACUUCAGGAAACUGGGGCUAAUACCGGAUAGGAGCUCCUGCUGCAUGGUGGGGGUUGGAAAGUUUCGGCGGUUGGGGAUGGACUCGCGGCUUAUCAGCUUGUUGGUGGGGUAGUGGCUUACCAAGGCUUUGACGGGUAGCCGGCCUGAGAGGGUGACCGGCCACCUUGGGACUGGGAUACGGCCCAGACUCCUACGGGAGGCAGCAGUGGGGAAUAUUGCACAAUGGGCGGAAGCCUGAUGCAGCAACGCCGCGUGCGGGAUGACGGCCUUCGGGUUGUAAACCGCUUUCGCCUGUGACGAAGCGUGAGUGACGGUAAUGGGUAAAGAAGCACCGGCUAACUACGUG